UGGAUAUAAAGAUACGCAUAGUUUUGACCUAGAUAUGGCAAGUAUUCCUGGCUAAUGAUAAACAUAGGUAAUACAGAGGUUGGACAUUAAGGUUAGAAAAUAUAGACUAAAUGGGAAGACAAGACAGAGUGAUCUGAGAAGGGUAGUCGAUCAGGAAGGAAAUUAGCAGUUUCAGGUUUCAUGCCAAGGAGCUAAAGAAUUCUAAGUACCUAAGGUUUUUUAGAUCCAGUGGAGUAGGUAUAUAUAAAUGAUUGGGCAGUGGUGAUUGCAAGAAAUGUUCAAUUUGUUUGCCUGUUCUGAA
rnacentral:misc_RNA from 1 species